GGCCGGCCCGUCCGCGCUGCCAUACCCGCAACAACCGCAAGGUAUGCCGGUGCCGUACGGCGCGGGCGCGGCGUACCCGUACUACGCGGCGCCCAUGCCGGCCCUGUACAACCCGUACGCCACGCUGCCGUACCCGCACCACGCGCGCAUGCCGCCGCCGCAGGCGUACGCGGCGUACCAGUACCCGGCGCCCGCGCCCGGCGCCCCGUACGGGCAGCCCCCGCCCGCCGGGUACAACCCCUAUCCGCAGCAGUAGGCGCGCCCGAUGGCUUGCUUUGUAACGGUUAUCAUAAUAUAUUAUAGUAAAAAUAUGCGCAUUUAACGAAUUUUCGAAAAGGUAUGUGAUGCCCAGAGGAAAUAAAUGAUAGAACAUGUAUUAAGAUGAAAUCUCUGUCGACAUAAUAUAAGAGUAAGACGUAGUAGUUGUAGCCUGAGAGCUCGCGUGCGCCGGCAUGUUGCAGACCGACAUGGUUCAGUAUACGUAUGACACGCGCCGCUUACUAGAUGAGGAUACAUCUCACUGCACUGUUAUAACAAUCUCGUUUGUAAGUAUGUAAAAAAAAUAUAUUUGUUAAUUCUUGAGAAAUAAAGUUAGAAGUAAUUUUUUAAUAGCAUUUUUUAUUAUUUAUAUAUAGUGGCCAAAAGUUUGGAAGUAUACCUCCUAUUUAUUGCCUGUGCGAUCAUAAUUAUUGCGUAUAAAUAAAAUCACAAUACGAGUUUGGUGCUUUACAGUUUAUAGUUGUUCAACAAUGAAAUGAUGCAUUAAAUUAUUAUUUCACAUUAUGUUUUAAGUGA